GACGAACGCUGGCGGCGUGCUUAACACAUGCAAGUCGAACGGAAAGGCCUGCUUUCCCUUGUGGAUUGCGGGUACUCGAGUGGCGAACGGGUGAGUAACACGUGAGUGAUCUGCCCCCAACUUGGGUAUAAGCCUGGGAAACUGGGUCUAAUGCCCGAUAGGACUGCAGGGUGGUGCCUGUGGUGGAAGACGAUUUUCUAGUGGUUGGGGAUGAGCUCGCGGCCUAUCAGCUUGUUGGUGGGGUAAUGGCCUACCAAGGCGGCGACGGGUAGCCGGCCUGGGAGGGUGGACGGCCACAUUGGGACUGCGAUACGGCCCAGACUCCUACGGGAGGCAGCAGUGGGGAGUAUUGCACAAUGGGCGGAAGCCUGAUGCAGCGACGCCGCGUGGGGGAUGACGGCCUUCGGGUUGUAAACUCCUUUCGACCGCGAGGAAGCCACCUGGUUGGAAGGGUGGUGACGGUAGUGGUAGAAGAAGCACCGGCUAACUACGUG
rnacentral:rRNA from 1 species